ACACUGACGUCGCGACGCAUAUCAAUAAGCGGAGGAAAAGAAACUAACUAGGAUUCCCUUAGUAACGGCGAGUGAAGCGGGAAGAGCUCAAAUUUGAAAUCUUAAAGGGUUUCCCUUUACGAAUUGUAGUUUAAAGAAGUGUUUUCUGUUGAGGUUUUGGUAAAAGUUCUUUGGAAUAGGACAUCAUAGAGGGUGAGAAUCCCGUAUUUGACCAUUACUUUCCAACUUUGUGAUACACUUUCAAGGAGUCGGAUUGUUUGGGAAUGCAGUCCAAAAUGGGUGGUAAAUUUCAUCUAAAGCUAAAUACUGGCGAGAGACCGAUAGGCGAACAAGUACCGUGAGGGAAAGAUGAAAAGAACUUUGAAAAGAGAGUUAAACAGUACGUGAAAUUGUCAAAAGGGAAGCGUUUGACACCAGUGUUGUUUUUCUGAAAAUCAAUUAAAGAACUGUUUAUGCUAAGUUGUUUAGACUUUAUCAGCUAACUGUUUAGUUUUGAGCUUUUCUUUAAUGCACUUUUCAGUUAACAAGUCAACAUCAAUUUCUUUUGCUGUAAAAAAGCUUGAGGAAGGUGGCUUGAGAUUCGUCUUAAGUGUUUAUAGCCUCUUGCCUAUGCAGUCGGAGAGAUUGAGGUCUGUAGCGUAGAUCCUUCGGGGCUAAAUGCAUUUGUGCUAAGUUAUAGCAUUUUAUAGACAACUUGUUGACUAUGAUUUGUCUUGUAGCUUACUCGCUUAUGUUAUUUUACCUACGCUUAGGAUGUUGAACUCUAUCACACACAG
rnacentral:rRNA from 1 species